GCCGGAGUGGUGAAAUUGGUAUACACGUACGACUCAAAAUCGUAUGCCGCAAGGCGUGAGGGUUCAAGCCCCUCCUCCGGCA
rnacentral:tRNA from 1 species